UAUCUUUGCCGCCGAAAUGGUUCGGAAUCCGUAGCCAACGGACGACGAUUAAUAGGGAAUCGGGUGCAAAUCCCGAACAGUCCCGCUGCUGUGAAGCUCAGUUCAAUGUCUUAUAAAUGAACUAAUUUGACGCCACUGAUGUUCUAUCGGGAAGGCAAAUAAGACAAGAGUCAGUCAGAAGACCUGCCACUUCACGUAAAACGUUC
rnacentral:ncRNA from 19 species